rnacentral:rRNA from 1 species
AUUGAACGCUGGCGGCAGGCCUAACACAUGCAAGUCGAGCGGAGUUGCGGACGGGUGAGUAAUGCCUAGGAAUCUGCCUGGUAGUGGGGGAUAACGUCCGGAAACGGGCGCUAAUACCGCAUACUAUCAGAUGAGCCUAGUUCGGAUUAGCUAGUGGUUGGGGUAAAGGCCUACCAAGUCGACGAUCCGUAACUGGGCUGAGAGGAUGAUCAGUCACACUGGAACUGAGACACGGUCCGGACUCCUACGGGAGGAAGCAGUGGGGAAUAUUGGACAAUGGGCGAAAGCCUGAUACAGCCAUGCCGCGUGUGUGAAGAAGGUCUUCGGAUUGUAAAGCACUUUAAGUUGGGAGGCGUUACCAACAGAGUAAGCACCGGCUAACUUCGUGCCAGCAGCCGCGGUAAUUC